rnacentral:lncRNA from 10 species
AUCCAGGCUUUAGGUUCUUUUGGUGAGUAGACGAUAUCUGAAGUGCUGCACCCACAUUAUGACUAUGUGUAGAGACGGGGCUUUACCAUGCUCGCCAGCCUGGUCUGAAAUGCCUGACCUCAAGUGAUCUGCCUGCAUCGGCCUCGCAAAGUGCUGGGAUUACAGUCCGGAACCACCAUGCCUGACCUGGGUAGGCAACUUCUAUUCUCUGCUCUAGUCUAUCCUUCUGACUAUGAAAAUAUUUAUGCACAUCUUUCUUCCCAUGUAUUGACCACCACACUUGCCCUCCACCGCACUUGCCCUCCUCCCAACAGAGGUAAUAAUUUCAUCUAAUUACUGUAUCCAGUAAAAAGAAAAAAAAUCAGUAUUUCUUCAUCAGGUUUGGAUGUGACAGAGAAUAUCACAAUAAAACUCCUGUUCAGAAAUAGGGGGAUGCA